rnacentral:tRNA from 6 species
GCAUCCAUGGCUGAAUGGUUAAAGCGCCCAACCUAUACCAACCGGGGCGAAAAUUCGUAGGUUCGAUUCCUGCUGGAUGCA